GGCCGUGUUAAGGACUUCUGUGUCCUGCAUGCACAGACAAAGGGAGGAUGGGUGUUAGAGAAGCACAAAACCAUGAAAAUGAACCAACCCUGCCUCUGAUGGGGACAGGCUCAAAGGUUUGGCUGCAGUGGCAAUGAAAUCUGUGAUGCAAUGAGGCACAAAGGCCUGUCUGCAGCUCAGGAGAACCACAGCACUACUCGGGCACAAACCAGAUGUUUCACGCAGUAAAUGACUGUCUAGUUUUUGUUUAUGCUGAAUGGGCUCAUUUAUAACCAGCUGCCAUCCAUGAGAGAGGGACACUGGGAAAGAGAGAAGUAUGUGACAGAAGUGGAAGUGUGAAAGAACGACUGUAAAACCUUUGCAAAGACAGAUCUGAAAAGGGCUAAGAAGAAAAUGCAUUGCCAGGUGAAAGAAAACACUUAGAUGCACCUCAGGUGGAAAAAGGUUGUAUAAGACAGACAAAGAGAAACUGAGGGUAAUUCAUCCACAAGCAUGUCAGAGAAGAGAUAGUUACAUUUCACCAAACCACCUGCAAAUAUUCCAUAUAUCCUAAGCCAUCAAUCCAGUAUAAACAUAUGCCAGAUAUCUGAUGAAGACCUGGUGGUCCUGUGUCAAAAGGGUCCCAAGGACCAGUUUGCCAGUAUGUUAUUUCUAAGCCAUUCUCCAACAACAGACAGUCUUCUUCAGGGCAUCUGAGGAAACACUAUUUUGGCCAAGGUCACAAACAAUGAACACAUGACUAAUGCCACUUCCAAACACACUCUGUUAGCACAGCAACUCCUCCAGGUCAGGCAGGCAGCACUUGUAUGCAAUUACAGUCUGGUCCAAAGCCCUACCAAGUCACUGGACUUCAGUGGACUUGGAACCAGGCUCUCAACAGGCCUGAACCAACUUCUCCUUUGGUUUUUGUGCUGUUUGCUCCGUCACCCACAUGUUGACCAGCAUGUGUGACAAAGGAUAAAAAACCUCUGCCUCCUUUGAACCCUAAGUGCUGUUUAGCUACCAAAGCUGAAGUCUGACUUUGAUGUGCUGAAGGAUAAUGCAAAGUUUAUAAAGACAUUUGCAUUCCUUUCAUAACUCCCUGUGAAGAUGAGCAUGAGACGAGUAAAAGCACAAGAACUGUCCUGAACCUUCUCCGUUUCCCAGUGUGUACAGGAACCCACCGUGCUAAUUAGCUGGUGCUGCCUCACAAAAACUGCACUUCACUGCAAGCAAUUCCACUAUAGAAAUCAAUAUUUCAGAUGCCUGAUGCCUGGAGUGAGUGUUACACAAAUAUAAUAGGCUGUAAAGACCUUUUAAAGAGCCAGCUAUUUAGAGACUGAAAAAAUAUAUUUCCUCUGAGGAAGAAAUAUGAACUAAUUGACUGUCCAUUAGAUUUAUAAACAGACUUUUUAGUGCAUCUUCAACAAGUAACAGCAUUUCAUCUAAAUUCUGUUAGGCUUGGUCUGUAUUUCCAUAGUAGGGUUUACUGCAGGAAAAAAAGUUACUGAACUUUAGAUACCUGUACUGGUCAUUACUAACAGCAUCUCAAAUGCAGGGAGGGGAUUUACACAGGUAUGUCCUCCCAUGUUGGCACAGCAUAAGUGAAACAUCAGGAACUACAACCAGGGACCGCCAGCACAAACCUCCAACUGUGGACACUUCAAGGUCCCAGGUGGAAAACUGGGAAUCCUUCCCCAUUUCUAUUGCUGAAGGUUUCAGCUGCCAGAUCUUGACCAAAACCUUCAACUCAGCAGGCUGGGUGGAAGCUACACACUCAUAUCACAGGCUCUAUCCAUGAAUAAUAAUAAUGUGCGUGUUUAUCUCCAGCUCUUUCUUGGUACCUGAAUGCAUAAGCACCUCAGCAGAGCUCUUCUUAAUUACAACUGUAACCUGCUAAUAGCAUUUCUUUGUUGUCUGAAGGAAUCUACUUCUUAUGCAGGCUAGGCUAAAUUAAAAUUUAAUACAACAUCGGGUCGCAACAGAACUAGGAAGCAAAUGACAGCUGUUUAAUUAAAACCUAAAGCUGAUUAGAUGGCACUACUGAGAGAAAUACUCAAGAGGAAGAGCUGAAAACCACUGAAACUCUAGGCCAGGAUAAUGGCUUUAUUUAAAUAUG